rnacentral:rRNA from 1 species
AAAAGGAUAAUCCUCCUAAGGGUUAGUCAGGUCCUAAGGCGAGGCCAAUUGGCGUAGUCGAUGGCAACACGGUUAAUAUUCCGUGACCAGUAUAAGCGUAGCGUAGGAGGACGGGAUAGGAUAUGUCGAGCCGGGUGUUGGUUCCGGUCUAAGCACGUAGGAAGUAGUGUAGGUAAAUCCGCACUGCAAUUCUGAAAUGUGGGCGAAGGGUCUUGUACCCUCAAGUCGACAAAAGCCAUGUCUCCAAGAAAAGUUUCGACGUGUUUUCUUAUACUGCCUGUACCGUAAACCGACUCAGGUGAGUGGGAUGAGUAUUCUCAGACGAUUGGGUUAAUCUGGUUAAGGAACUCGGCAACUUAACACCGUAACUUAGGGAAAAGGUGUGCCUAACUUCUUAGGGAGUGGCCGCAGAAAAAUGGGAGUAGCGACUGUUUAUCAAAAACACAGGCAUGUGCAAAGUCUCAAGACGACGUAUACGUGCUGACGCCUGCCCGGUGCUGGAAGGUUAAGAGGAUUUGUUAGCCGCAAGGCGAAGCUGAGAAUCGAAGCCCCAGUAAACGGCGGCCGUAACAAUAACGGUCCUAAGGUAGCGAAAUUCCUUGUCGGGUAAGUUCCGACCAGCACGAAUGGCGUAACGACUUCUCCGGUGUCUCAACCAGAUGCCCAGCGAAUUCGAAUUCUCGGUGAAAAUGCCGGGUACCCGCAGAAAGACGGAAAGACCCCGUGAACCUUUACUAUAGCUUGGCAGUGAACUUAGAGUCCUCAUGUGUAGGAUAGGUGGGAGCCUUUGAAGCCUGGCCGCUAGGUCGGGUGGAGGCAACCUUGAAAUACCACCCUUGAUGUCUUUGAGUUCUAACCUGCGCCCUCAUCAGGGCGAGGGACACUGUCUGGUGGGUAGUUUGACUGGGGCGGUCGCCUCCCAAAGAGUAACGGAGGCGUACGAAGGUCCGCUCAGCUUGAAUGGAAACCAAGCGUCGAGUGCAUUGGCAUAAGCGGGCUUAACUGCGAGUCCUACAAGACGAGCAGGUGCGAAAGCAGGUCAAAGUGAUCCGGUGGUCCCGCGUGGAAGGGCCAUCGCUCAACGGAUAAAAGGUACUCCGGGGAUAACAGGCUUAUUCCGCCCAAGAGUUCACAUCGACGGCGGAGUUUGGCACCUCGAUGUCGGCUCAUCACAUCCUGGGGCUGGAGCAGGUCCCAAGGGUUCGGCUGUUCGCCGAUUAAAGUGGUACGCGAGCUGGGUUCAGAACGUCGUGAGACAGUUUGGUCCUUAUCUUCUGUGGGCGUAGGAAAUUUGAGGAGACCUGUCCUUAGUACGAGAGGAUCGGGAUGGACGAAUCUCUGGUGUUCCUGUUGUCGCGCCAGCGGCAUAGCAGGGUAGCUAUAUUCGGAAUGGAUAACCGCUGAAAGCAUCUAAGCGGGAAGCCAACUCCAAGAUGAGAUUUCCCUAGGGCUUCGGCCCUCUAAAGACUCCAGGGAGACUACCUGGUUGAUAGGCGGGAGGUGUAAGCGCAGUAAUGCGUUCAGCUGACCCGUACUAAUAGUCGUGCGGCUUUUUA